rnacentral:rRNA from 1 species
ACGUAGGGUGCGAGCGUUAAUCGGAAUUACUGGGCGUAAAGCGUGCGCAGGCGGUUGAUUAAGACAGGCGUGAAAAAUCCGGGCUUAACCUGGGAAAUGGGCUUGUGAUUGGGCAACUGGAGUACGGCAGAGGGGGGUGGAAUUCCAGGUGUAGCAGUGAAAUGCGUAGAUAUGGGGAGGAACACCGGUGGCGAAGGCAGCCCCCUGGGCCAAAACUGACGCUCAUGCGCGAAAGCGUGGGUAGCAAACGG